UGGGGAAUAUUGCGCAAUGGGCGAAAGCCUGACGCAGCGACGCCGCGUGAGGGAUGAAGGUCUUCGGAUUGUAAACCUCUUUCAGCAGGGACGAAGCGAAAGUGACGGUACCUGAAGAAGAAGCACCGGCUAACUACGUGCCAGCAGCCGCGGUAAUACGUAGGGUGCAAGCGUUGUCCGGAUUUAUUGGGCGUAAAGAGCUCGUAGGCGGUUAGACACGUCGGAUGUGAAAACUGGGGGCUCAACCCCCAGCCUGCAUUCGAUACGGUCUGACUAGAGUGUGGUAGGGGUAACUGGAAUUCCUGGUGUAGCGGUGAAAUGCGCAGAUAUCAGGAGGAACACCGAUGGCGAAGGCAGGUUACUGGGCCACCACUGACGCUGAGGAGCGAAAGCGUGGGGAGCAAACAGG
rnacentral:rRNA from 1 species